rnacentral:rRNA from 1 species
UAGGUGACCUGCGGAGGAUCAUUGUCGAAUGCCAAGYAGAAAGACCUGCGAACAUGUUAUGUAUACUUCCGGAAAAAAUUGAGCGGUGGACCUAGUUGUCGCCUUCUAUUUGUUCCUUCUCAAGUGGGUGCAAGGUCCUUCUGGAAACUUGUUCAUUCACUUGUCAAAUAACGAAACCCGGCGCAAACCGCGCCAAGGAAAAUCUUGGAAAAAAAUGCACGCCUACACCCAUUCGUGGGCUGUGGCGCUCGCAUAUUUCGUAAAACUAAACGACUCUCGGCAACGGAUAUCUCGGCUCUUGCAUCGAUGAAGAACGUAGCGAAAUGCGAUACUUGGUGUGAAUUGCAGAAUCCCGUGAACCAUCGAGUCUUUGAACGCAAGUUGCGCCUGAAGCCAUUAGGUUGAAGGCACGUCUGCCUGGGCGUCACGCAUCCCGUCACCCACCAGCCUUGUCCUUCCAUGGGCACAUGAAUGCGUGGGUGGAUAUUGGCCUCCCGUGCACGUUCGUGCUUGGUUGGUCUAAAAACGCAGUCCCCGACGACGGACAUCACAACUAGUGGUGGUUGUUUAACUGUUGCGUAAUGUUGUGUAUGCCAUUGUUGUUGUGGGUUGUUGCUCCUUUGACCCAAAAGUAACAUACAAAUGUUACCUUGAUUGCGACCCCAGGUCAGGUGGGAUUACCCGCUGAGUUUAAGCAUAUCA